rnacentral:rRNA from 1 species
GACGAAUGCUGGCGGCGUGCUUAACACAUGCAAGUCGAACGAUGAAGCCUAGCUUGCUAGGUGGAUUAGUGGCGAACGGGUGAGUAAUACGUGAGUAACCUACCUUUAACUCUGGGAUAAGCCUGGGAAACUGGGUCUAAUACCGGAUACGACCAAUCUCCGCAUGGGGUGUUGGUGGAAAGCGUUAUGUAGUGGUUAUAGAUGGGCUCACGGCCUAUCAGCUUGUUGGUGAGGUAACGGCUCACCAAGGCGACGACGGGUAGCCGGCCUGAGAGGGUGACCGGCCACACUGGGACUGAGACACGGCCCAGACUCCUACGGGAGGCAGCAGUGGGGAAUAUUGCACAAUGGGCGCAAGCCUGAUGCAGCGACGCCGCGUGAGGGAUGACGGCCUUCGGGUUGUAAACCUCUGUUAGCAGGGAAGAAGAGAGAUUGACGGUACCUGCAGAGAAAGCGCCGGCUAACUACGUGCCAGCAGCCGCGGUAAUACGUAGGGCGCGAGCGUUGUCCGGAAUUAUUGGGCGUAAAGAGCUUGUAGGGCGGUUUGUCGCGUCUGCUGUGAAAGGCCGGGGCUUAACUCCGUGUAUUGCAGUGGGUACGGGCAGACUAGAGUGCAGUAGGGGAGACUGGAAUUCCUGGUGUAGCGGUGGAAUGCGCAGAUAUCAGGAGGAACACCGAUGGCGAAGGCAGGUCUCUGGGCUGUAACUGACGCUGAGAAGCGAAAGCAUGGGGAGCGAACAGGAUUAGAUACCCUGGUAGUCCAUGCCGUAAACGUUGGGCACUAGGUGUGGGGGACAUUCCACGUUUUCCGCGCCGUAGCUAACGCAUUAAGUGCCCCGCCUGGGGAGUACGGCCGCAAGGCUAAAACUCAAAGAAAUUGACGGGGGCCCGCACAAGCGGCGGAGCAUGCGGAUUAAUUCGAUGCAACGCGAAGAACCUUACCAAGGCUUGACAUAUACUGGACCGCAUCAGAGAUGGUGUUUCCCUUCGGGGCUGGUAUACAGGUGGUGCAUGGUUGUCGUCAGCUCGUGUCGUGAGAUGUUGGGUUAAGUCCCGCAACGAGCGCAACCCUCGUUCUAUGUUGCCAGCACGUUAUGGUGGGGACUCAUAGGAGACUGCCGGGGUCAACUCGGAGGAAGGUGGGGAUGACGUCAAAUCAUCAUGCCCCUUAUGCCUUGGGCUUCACGCAUGCUACAAUGGCCGGUACAGAGGGUUGCGAUACUGUGAGGUGGAGCUAAUCCCUAAAAGCCGGUCUCAGUUCGGAUUGGGGUCUGCAACUCGACCCCAUGAAGUCGGAGUCGCUAGUAAUCGCAGAUCAGCAACGCUGCGGUGAAUACGUUCCCGGGCCU